UUGAUUCUCGUUUUUUUGAUUCAGACAAAUACUUUUUGGCAUAAAUGAGGCGACUUGGCGCCAAAGCACAUCUCGCUUCCACAGGUUUGAAGUCGAAGGCCAAAAAAGCCAUUCGUUAAUGAUCCCUCCGCAGGUUCACCUACGGAGA
rnacentral:misc_RNA from 1 species